rnacentral:rRNA from 1 species
AGGCUAAAUACUCCUGACUGACCGAUAGUGAACCAGUACCGUGAGGGAAAGGCGAAAAGAACCCCGGCGAGGGGAGUGAAAAAGAACCUGAAACCGUGUACGUACAAGCAGUGGGAGCCUCUUAAUGGGGUGACUGCGUACCUUUUGUAUAAUGGGUCAGCGACUUAUAUUCUGUAGCAAGGUUAACCGAAUAGGGGAGCCGAAGGGAAACCGAGUCUUAACUGGGCGCUAAGUUGCAGGGUAUAGACCCGAAACCCGGUGAUCUAGCCAUGGGCAGGUUGAAGGUUGGGUAACACUAACUGGAGGACCGAACCGACUAAUGUUGAAAAAUUAGCGGAUGACUUGUGGCUGGGGGUGAAAGGCCAAUCAAACCGGGAGAUAGCUGGUUCUCCCCGAAAGCUAUUUAGGUAGCGCCUCGUGAAUUCAUCUCCGGGGGUAGAGCACUGUUUCGGCAAGGGGGUCAUCCCGACUUACCAACCCGAUGCAAACUGCGAAUACCGGAGAAUGUUAUCACGGGAGACACACGGCGGGUGCUAACGUCCGUCGUGAAGAGGGAAACAACCCAGACCGCCAGCUAAGGUCCCAAAGUCAUGGUUAAGUGGGAAACGAUGUGGGAAGGCCCAGACAGCCAGGAUGUUGGCUUAGAAGCAGCCAUCAUUUAAAGAAAGCGUAAUAGCUCACUGGUCGAGUCGGCCUGCGCGGAAGAUGUAACGGGGCUAAACCAUGCACCGAAGCUGCGGCAGCGACACUAUGUGUUGUUGGGUAGGGGAGCGUUCUGUAAGCCUGUGAAGGUGGCCUGUGAGGGUUGCUGGAGGUAUCAGAAGUGCGAAUGCUGACAUAAGUAACGAUAAAGCGGGUGAAAAGCCCGCUCGCCGGAAGACCAAGGGUUCCUGUCCAACGUUAAUCGGGGCAGGGUGAGUCGACCCCUAAGGCGAGGCCGAAAGGCGUAGUCGAUGGGAAACAGGUUAAUAUUCCUGUACUUGGUGUUACUGCGAAGGGGGGACGGAGAAGGCUAUGUUGGCCGGGCGACGGUUGUCCCGGUUUAAGCGUGUAGGCUGGUUUUCCAGGCAAAUCCGGAAAACCAAGGCUGAGGCGUGAUGACGAGGCACUACGGUGCUGAAGCGACAAAUGCCCUGCUUCCAGGAAAAGCCUCUAAGCAUCAGGUAACAUCAAAUCGUACCCCAAACCGACACAGGUGGUCAGGUAGAGAAUACCAAGGCGCUUGAGAGAACUCGGGUGAAGGAACUAGGCAAAAUGGUGCCGUAACUUCGGGAGAAGGCACGCUGAUAUGUAGGUGAAGCGACUUGCUCGUGGAGCUGAAAUCAGUCGAAGAUACCAGCUGGCUGCAACUGUUUAUUAAAAACACAGCACUGUGCAAACACGAAAGUGGACGUAUACGGUGUGACGCCUGCCCGGUGCCGGAAGGUUAAUUGAUGGGGUUAGCGGUAACGCGAAGCUCUUGAUCGAAGCCCCGGUAAACGGCGGCCGUAACUAUAACGGUCCUAAGGUAGCGAAAUUCCUUGUCGGGUAAGUUCCGACCUGCACGAAUGGCGUAAUGAUGGCCAGGCUGUCUCCACCCGAGACUCAGUGAAAUUGAACUCGCUGUGAAGAUGCAGUGUACCCGCGGCAAGACGGAAAGACCCCGUGAACCUUUACUAUAGCUUGACACUGAACAUUGAGCCUUGAUGUGUAGGAUAGGUGGGAGGCUUUGAAGUGUGGACGCCAGUCUGCAUGGAGCCGACCUUGAAAUACCACCCUUUAAUGUUUGAUGUUCUAACGUUGGCCCCUAAUCGGGGUUGCGGACAGUGUCUGGUGGGUAGUUUGACUGGGGCGGUCUCCUCCUAAAGAGUAACGGAGGAGCACGAAGGUUGGCUAAUCCUGGUCGGACAUCAGGAGGUUAGUGCAAUGGCAUAAGCCAGCUUGACUGCGAGCGUGACGGCGCGAGCAGGUGCGAAAGCAGGUCAUAGUGAUCCGGUGGUUCUGAAUGGAAGGGCCAUCGCUCAACGGAUAAAAGGUACUCCGGGGAUAACAGGCUGAUACCGCCCAAGAGUUCAUAUCGACGGCGGUGUUUGGCACCUCGAUGUCGGCUCAUCACAUCCUGGGGCUGAAGUAGGUCCCAAGGGUAUGGCUGUUCGCCAUUUAAAGUGGUACGCGAGCUGGGUUUAGAACGUCGUGAGACAGUUCGGUCCCUAUCUGCCGUGGGCGCUGGAGAACUGAGGGGGGCUGCUCCUAGUACGAGAGGACCGGAGUGGACGCAUCACUGGUGUUCGGGUUGUCAUGCCAAUGGCACUGCCCGGUAGCUAAAUGCGGAAGAGAUAAGUGCUGAAAGCAUCUAAGCACGAAACUUGCCCCGAGAUGAGUUCUCCCUGAGACUUAGAGUCUCCUGAAGGAACGUUGAAGACGACGACGUUGAUAGGCCGGGUGUGUAAGCGCAGCGAUGCG